rnacentral:rRNA from 1 species
CUACGGGGGGCUCCAGUAAGGAAUAUUGCACAAUGGAGGAAACUCUGAUGCAGCAACGCCGCGUGGAGGAUGACGCAUUUCGGUGCGUAAACUCCUUUUAUAUGUCAAGAAAAUGACGGUAGCAUAUGAAUAAGCACCGGCUAACUCCGUGCCAGCAGCCGCGGUAAUACGGAGGGUGCAAGCGUUACUCGGAAUCACUGGGCGUAAAGGACGCGUAGGCGGGAUAUCAAGUCAGGUGUGAAAUCCUACAGCUUAACUGUAGAACUGCACUUGAAACUGGUAACCUAGAGUAUGGGAGGGGGAGAUGGAAUUAGUGGUGUAGGGGUAAAAUCCGUAGAUAUCACUAGGAAUACCUAAAGCGAAGGCGAUCUCCUGGAACAUAACUGACGCUAAGGCGUGAAAGCGUGGGGAGCAAACAGGAUUAGAUACCCGAGUAGUC